rnacentral:rRNA from 1 species
UACGUAGGGUGCAAGCGUUGUCCGGAAUUAUUGGGCGUAAAGAGCUCGUAGGCGGUUUGUUGCGUCGGCUGUGAAAACCUGCGGCUUAACUGUGGGCUUGCAGUCGAUACGGGCAGACUUGAGUUCGGCAGGGGAGACUGGAAUUCCUGGUGUAGCGGUGAAAUGCGCAGAUAUCAGGAGGAACACCGGUGGCGAAGGCGGGUCUCUGGGCCGAUACUGACGCUGAGGAGCGAAAGCGUGGGGAGCAAACAGG